GAUGAACGCUGGCGGCGUGCCUAAUACAUGCAAGUCGAGCGAACGGACGCGAAGCUUGCUUCUCGGAUGUUAGCGGCGGACGGGAGAGUAACACGUGGAUAACCUACCUAUAAGACUGGGAUAACUUCGGAAAACCGGAGCUAAUACCGGAUAAUAUUUUGAACCGCAUGGUUCAAAAGUAAAAGUCGGUCUUGCUGUCACUUAUAGAUGGAUCCGCGCUGCAUUAGCUAGUUGGUAAGGUAACGGCUUAUCAAGGCAACGAUGCAUAGCCGACCUGAGAGGGUGAUGCGCCACACAGGAACUGAGACACGAUCCAGAGUCCGACGGGAGGCAGCAGUAGCUAAGGUUGCGAGAUGUGCGAAAGCCUGAAGGAGCAACGCAGCGUGGGUGAUGAAGGGCUUCGGACCGGAAAACGCUGUUCUUAGGGAAGAACAUAUGUGUAAGUAACUGUGCGCAUCUUGACGGUACCUAAACAGAAAGCCACGGCUAACUCCGU
rnacentral:rRNA from 1 species